rnacentral:tRNA from 1 species
GCCGGUGUAGCUCAGUUGGUCAGAGCAGCUGUUUCGUAAACAGCAGGUCGGCGGUUCAAAUCCGCCUAUCGGCU